rfam:Acidibacillus ferrooxidans strain ITV001 contig0062, whole genome shotgun sequence.
UCGUCCUUUAAAUCAGUCCUGUGAGGCUGGUAAGGAAGCGAAUGAUUGUCGGCAUCGCGAUGCCGACGUGCUCACCUGCCCGCAGGUGGGCAUUUUUUGU